rnacentral:rRNA from 1 species
GUAGGUGGCAAGCGUUGUCCGGAAUUAUUGGGCGUAAAGCGCGCGCAGGCGGUUCUUUAAGUCUGAUGUGAAAGCCCACGGUUCAACCGUGGAGGGUCAUUGGAAACUGGAGAACUUGAGUACAGAAGAGGAAAGCGGAAUUCCACGUGUAGCGGUGAAAUGCGUAGAGAUGUGGAGGAACACCAGUGGCGAAGGCGGCUUUCUGGUCUGUAACUGACGCUGAGGCGCGAAAGCGUGGGGAGCAAACAGGGAUUAGAUACCCUGGUAGUCCACGCCGUAAACGAUGAGUGCUAAGUGUUAGGGGGGUUUCCGCCCCCUUAGUGCUGCAGCUAACGCAUUAAGCACUCCGCCUGGGGAUACGGCCGCAAGGCUG